rnacentral:rRNA from 1 species
GACGAACGCUGGCAGCGUGCUUAACACAUGCAAGUCGAACGGAAAGGCCUAGCUUGCUGGGUACUCGAGUGGCGAACGGGUGAGUAACACGUGGGUGAUCUGCCCCUGACUUUGGGAUAAGCCUGGGAAACUGGGUCUAAUACCGGAUAUUCAUUUUUCCUCGCAUGGGGAUUUGUGGAAAGCUUUUGCGGUUGGGGAUGGGCCCGCGGCCUAUCAGCUUGUUGGUGGGGUAAUGGCCUACCAAGGCGACGACGGGUAGCCGACCUGAGAGGGUGAUCGGCCACACUGGGACUGAGACACGGCCCAGACUCCUACGGGAGGCAGCAGUGGGGAAUAUUGCACAAUGGGCGCAAGCCUGAUGCAGCGACGCCGCGUGAGGGAUGACGGCCUUCGGGUUGUAAACCUCUUUCAGCUCCGACGAAGCGCAAGUGACGGUAGGAGCAGAAGAAACACCGGCCAACUACGU